rnacentral:piRNA from 1 species
UGACUUAGGGAAGUGGCUGAUGAGGCCUUGG